rnacentral:rRNA from 1 species
GUCGGGUAACACCGACCGGAGGCCCGAACCAGUGUUGGUUGAAAACAGCUUGGAUGAGCUGUGGGUAGGGGUGAAAGGCUAAUCAAACCUCGUGAUUGCCCGUUCUCCUCGAAAUAGCUUUAGGGCUAGCGUCGUGAGUUAGCUUCCGGGGGUAAAGUACUGACUGGACUAGGGCCUUUACCGAGGUACCGAAUCCAAUCCAACUCUGAAUACCGGAAAGCCGCAUCACGGCAGUCAGACAGUGGGGGCUAAGCUCCAUUGUCAAAAGGGAAACAGCCCAGACCGUCAGCUAAGGUCCCAAAGUGCCGUCUUAGUGGUAAAGGAUGUGGAUCCGCACAGACAACCAGGAGGUUGGCUUAGAAGCAGCCAUCCUUUAAAGAAAGCGUAAUAGCUCACUGGUCAAGUGGGUCUGCGCCGAUAAUUCAACGGGG